rnacentral:rRNA from 1 species
GGAGACAGGUGCUGCAUGGCUGUCGUCAGCUCGUGUCGUGAGAUGUUGGGUUAAGUCCCGCAACGAGCGCAACCCUUAUCUUUAAUUGCCAGCAUUCAGUUGGGCACUUUAAAGAGACUGCCGGUGUUAAACCGGAGGAAGGUGGGGAUGACGUCAAGUCCUCAUGGCCUUUAUGCUUAGGGCUACACACGUGCUACAAUGGGUGGUACAAAGAGAAGCCAACUCGCGAGAGCGCGCCAAUCUCAAAAAGCCAUCCUCAGUUCGGAUUGGAGUCUGCAACUCGACUCCAUGAAGUUGGAAUCGCUAGUAAUCGCGGAUCAGCAUGCCGCGGUGAAUACGUCCCUGCUCCUU